CCUACGGGAGACAGCAGUCGAGAAUCAUUCACAAUGGGGGAAACCCUGAUGGUGCGACGCCGCGUGGGGGAAUGAAGGUCUUCGGAUUGUAAACCCCUGUCAUGUGGGAGCAAAUUAAAAAGAUAGUACCACAAGAGGAAGAGACGGCUAACUCUGUGCCAGCAGCAGCGGGAAUACAGAGGUCUCAAGCGUGGUUCGGAAUCACUGGGCGUAAAGCGUGCGGAGGCUGUUUCGUAAGUCGUGUGUGAAAGGCGCGGGCUCAACCCGCGGACGGCACAUGAUACUGCGAGACUAGAGUAAUGGAGGGGGAACCGGAAUUCUCGGUGUAGCAGUGAAAUGCGUAGAUAUCGAGAGGAACACCCGUGGCGAAGGCGGGUUCCUGGACAUUAACUGACGCUGAGGCACGAAGGCCAGGGGAGCGAAAGGGAUUAGAUACCCGUGUAGUC
rnacentral:rRNA from 1 species